GCCGGAGACCUGGAUUCAAUCCUGAUCUUGGCUGCUGUCUGCGUGAAGUUUGCACGUUCUUCCAGUGACCGCAUGGGUUUCCUCCAAGCUCUCCAGUUUCCUACCAC